GUCUAGUGGGCAGGACGCUGAAUUAGGAGUCAGGAGAUCUUGCUUCUGCUUCUGUAUCUGUCACGUGGUGAGCUUGGUUUGUACCGAUCGUUAAGGCACCGUGUAAUUACCACCACCGCUAAAAGGCACGGGAUGAUUUAUCCUUGACAAGCAUCACCUUUUCGAGACGACGCCAUUAACACUUACGUGGAGUUUUUUUGGCAUGGGGAGCAGGUUUCUCCCCCACCCAGAGUUCAGUGGGGUGCAGAGCUGGCUGGCUUCACAGAAACCAGGAUCCAAACUUUCAUGAGGACACCCAUGCUCCAUAAGAUGUUCCCUCGACUGACCUUAUUGAGAUGUGAGCCUCCAAUGUGAUUUGUGGAGCAAAUUGGCUAAAUAUAUUAAUAAAGGGUGGGCCCAUUCCGG